rnacentral:rRNA from 1 species
GACGAACGCUGGCGGCGUGCUUAACACAUGCAAGUCGAACGGAAAGGCCCUGCUUUUGUGGGGUGCUCGAGUGGCGAACGGGUGAGUAACACGUGAGUAACCUGCCCUUGACUUUGGGAUAACUUCAGGAAACUGGGGCUAAUACCGGAUAGGAGCUCCUGCUGCAUGGUGGGGGUUGGAAAGUUUCGGCGGUGGGGGAUGGACUCGCGGCUUAUCAGCUUGUUGGUGGGGGAGUGGCUUACCAAGGCUUUGACGGGUAGCCGGCCUGAGAGGGUGACCGGCCACAUUGGGACUGAGAUACGGCCCAGACUCCUACGGGAGGCAGCAGUGGGGAAUAUUGCACAAUGGGCGGAAGCCUGAUGCAGCAACGCCGCGUGCGGGAUGACGGCCUUCGGGUUGUAAACCGCUUUCGCCUGUGACGAAGCGUGAGUGACGGUAAUGGGUAAAGAAGCACCGGCUAACUACGUG